AACGAACGCUGGCGGCAUGCCUAACACAUGCAAGUCGAACGCCCGUAGCAAUACGGGAGUGGCAGACGGGUGCAUAACACGUGGGAACCUACCCUAGGGUUCGGAAUAACCGCGGGAAACUGCGGCUAAUACCGGAUACGUCCUCUGGGAGAAAGAUUUAUCGCCCUUGGAGGGGCCCGCGUCGGAUUAGCUAGUUGGUGAGGUAACGGCUCACCAAGGCGACGAUCCGUAGCUGAUCUGAGAGGAUGAUCAGCCACACUGGAACUGAGACACGGUCCAGACUCCUACGGGAGGCAGCAGUGGGGAAUAUUGGACAAUGGGCGCAAGCCUGAUCCAGCAAUGCCGCGUGGGUGAUGAAGGCCUUCGGGUUGUAAAGCCCUUUUGGCAGGGACGAUGAUGACGGUACCUGCAGAAUAAGCCCCGGCUAACUUCGUGCCAGCCGCCGGGUAACAC
rnacentral:rRNA from 1 species